rnacentral:rRNA from 1 species
AGUGAGCGCUGGCGGCAGGCCUAACACAUGCAAGUCGAGCGGUAGCACAGAGAGCUUGCUCUCGGGUGACGAGCGGCGGACGGGUGAGUAAUGUCUGGGAAACUGCCUGAUGGAGGGGGAUAACUACUGGAAACGGUAGCUAAUACCGCAUAACGUCGCAAGACCAAAGUGGGGGACCUUCGGGCCUCAUGCCAUCAGAUGUGCCCAGAUGGGAUUAGCUGGUAGGUGGGGUAACGGCUCACCUAGGCGACGAUCCCUAGCUGGUCUGAGAGGAUGACCAGCCACACUGGAACUGAGACACGGUCCAGACUCCUACGGGAGGCAGCAGUGGGGAAUAUUGCACAAUGGGCGCAAGCCUGAUGCAGCCAUGCCGCGUGUGUGAAGAAGGCCUUCGGGUUGUAAAGCACUUUCAGCGGGGAGGAAGGCAUUAAGGUUAAUAACCUUAGUGAUUGACGUUACCCGCAGAAGAAGCACCGGCUAACUCCGUGCCAGCAGCCGCCGUAAAAC